rnacentral:rRNA from 1 species
UACGUAGGGGGCAAGCGUUGUCCGGAAUUAUUGGGCGUAAAGCGCACGUAGGCGGAUUGGCAAGUUGGGGGUGAAAUCCCGGGGCUCAACCCCGGAACUGCCUUUGAUACUGGGUGUCUGGAGUCCGGAAGAGGUGAGUGGAAUUCCGAGUGUAGAGGUGAAAUUCGUAGAUAUUCGGAGGAACACCAGUGGCGAAGGCGGCUCACUGGUCCGGUACUGACGCUGAGGUGCGAAAGCGUGGGGAGCAAACAGG